UUCCUGCUGGUCCAGUGGCUAAGACGCCGCGCUUCCAAUGCAGGGGGCCCAGGUUUGAUCCCUGGUCAGGGAA
rnacentral:tRNA from 1 species